GACGAACGCUGGCGGCGUGCUUAACACAUGCAAGUCGAACGGAAAGGCCCUGCUCUUGUGGGGUGCUCGAGUGGCGAACGGGUGAGUAACACGCGAGUAACCUGCCCCUGACUUUGGGAUAACUUCAGGAAACUGGGGCUAAUACCGGAUAGGAGCUCCUGCUGCAUGGUGGGGGUUGGAAAGUUUCGGCGGUUGGGGAUGGACUCGCGGCUUAUCAGCUUGUUGGUGGGGUAGUGGCUGACCAAGGCUUUGACGGGUAGCCGGCCUGAGAGGGUGACCGGCUACAUUGGGACUGAGAUAGGGCCCAGACUCCUACGGGAGGCAGCAGGGGGAAAUAUGGCGCAGUGGGCGGGAGCCUGAUGCAGCAACCCCGCGUGCGGGAUGACGGCCUUCGGGUUGUAAACCGCUUUCGCCUGUGACGAAGCGUGAGUGACGGUAAUGGGUAAAGAAGCACCGGCUAACUACGUG
rnacentral:rRNA from 1 species